CGAGAGGUAGUUUAGGCUU
rnacentral:tRNA from 1 species